rnacentral:lncRNA from 1 species
AAACCAAAAGGAAAGCGAGCCAAAAAGCUGUAGGCCUGCCAUAACACAAGCCCAAAACACACGCUUCCCCGCGACCGCGACGCCAAAACAGGAAAACGAACAAAUCCCCCCUCGCCUCCGGCUCCUGUCCCCGUCUCCCAUCUCCGCUCCAGUCUUCCCCUCAUCUCCUCUCCCAUGUGGCUGCCCUGGGUCAAGACGCGCCCUUCCUCCCCCACCACCCCCUCGCCGUCCACCUCCACCGCGCUCGCCGCCGCCCCCGCCUCCCCUCG